AUUGAACGCUGGCGGCAGGCCUAACACAUGCAAGUCGAACGAGUGGCGGACGGGUGAGUAAUGUCUGGGAAACUGCCUGAUGGAGGGGGAUAACUACUGGAAACGGUCGCUAAUACCGCAUCCCAUCAGAUGUGCCCAGAUGGGAUUAGCUAGUUGGUGGGGUAAGGGCUCACCAAGGCGACGAUCCCUAGCUGGUCUGAGAGGAAGACCAGCCACACUGGAACGGAGACACGCCCCAGACUCCUACGGUAGGCAGGAGUGGGGAAUAUUGCCAAAUGGGCGCCAGCAUGAUGCAGCCAUGCCGCGUGUAUGAAGAAGGCCUUCGGGUUGUAAAGGACUUUCAGCGGUGAGGCGUUACCCGCAGAAGAAGCACCGGCUAACUCCGUGCCAGCAGCAGCGGUAAUUC
rnacentral:rRNA from 1 species